rnacentral:rRNA from 1 species
GACAGAGGGUGCAAACGUUGUUCGGAAUUACUGGGCGUAAAGCGUGCGCAGGCGGCGCCGCAAGUCAGGCGUGAAAUCCCCGAGCUUAACUUGGGAAUGGCGCUUGAAACUACGGUGCUGGAGUGUGGCAGAGGGAGGUGGAAUUCCACGUGUAGCGGUGAAAUGCGUAGAGAUGUGGAGGAACACCGAUGGCGAAGGCAGCCUCCUGGGCCAACACUGACGCUCAUGCACGAAAGCGUGGGGAGCAAACAGG